AGGAGAAGCCAUGUGAUUCUGCUCAUAGAAGAUAAAUCACGAGGCCAAAGCACAAAGAUGAAACGAAACAACUAACUUAACAGACUGCCAGUGUAUUCUGAGAAGAAUGAAUGAGUCUGGAACAGGACUGAAACAUGAAGACAUUGCAGAAUGUAUUUGCGGAUUCCUUCACUCACACCCUGCUCAUGUCCGAGCCUGAAUUGACAACCCUCUUUUCUUUGAUUAUUGUGGGAAAGCAUAAUUUUACCAAAACGUCGCACCGAUACUAAUUCUCAUCUCGUCCAGAAUGGAUCAUUUGGUUGGAUGUCUGCAGUUCUAGAGAAUUAAGCUUGAAGGAGAGAUGCACAAUGACAAUGAACAUGCACAAUGCUGGUAACUUGGACCCUCCACAUUCCUGAUGCUGCCAGAA